rnacentral:tRNA from 1 species
GGUGUCGUGGUCCAGUUGGUAGGACGCCGGUCUGUCUAACCGGAAGGCGCGGGUUCGAGUCCCGCCGGCACCGCCA